rnacentral:misc_RNA from 2 species
AGCAGCCGCGGUAAUUCCAGCUCCAAUAGCGUAUAUUAAAGUUGCUGCAGUUAAAAAGCUCGUAGUUGAAUUUCGGGACCAAUAUGUCGGUCGUGCCUCGGUACGUACUGGCAUCGUUGGUUUCUCCUUUCUGAAGAACCAUGAUGUCAUUUAUUUGGUGUCGUGGGGAAUCAGGACUGUUACUUUGAAAAAAUUAGAGUGUUUAAAGCAGGCUCACGCUUGAAUACAUUAGCAUGGAAUAAUGAAAUAGGACGUUUGAUUCUAUUUUGUUGGUUUCUAGGAUCGACGUAAUGAUUAAUAGGGAUAGUUGGGGGCAUUAGUAUUCAAUUGUCAGAGGUGAAAUUCUUGGAUUUAUUGAAGACUAACUACUGCGAAAGCAUUUGCCAAGGAUGUUUUCAUUAAUCAAGAACGAAAGUUAGGGGAUCGAAGACGAUCAGAUACCGUCGUAGUCUUAACCAUAAACUAUGCCGACUAGGGAUCGGAUGAUGUUAAUUUUUUAAUGACUCAUUCGGCGCCUUAC